CCAUGCUGGCCAAUCAGAAGCCUGACAAAGUUUCAAGUAGGCGGAGAUAACAGCGCAGGCUCCGACGUCACAAGCCAAAAACUCCGGUUUAGCUGUCUACAUGAUAACACUGCAGCCAGAGUUUUUUUAAAUCUUCACCCUGGCAGGAGUUUUUUCAAAAUGUUCGGUUUCAGUGACCUGGUGCAGCGUUUGCGUGAGGACGAUCGGACAAACCGCAGAGAAAAAGCUGCUGUUUUGAAAAUAACCGCGUUCGUGUGGACGGCCAAUGGGCGCGCGCGUUGAGCAUUCAAAUCACAUUUAAACUGAAGCUGAGGAGGUUACCAUGGUAACAGGGCGUCAACUCACUCAGCUGACAAGUCACGAGAAGCUGUCUCUCUGCUGUCUUCGCUGCUUUCAGGAGUGGUAGUGUUUUCAAAAAGACCGUUAGCAUCACAACCGUUAACUAUAGAGGCUAACAAUUAGAGGAGCGUCAGAAAAAAAUACCUAAAACAGGGGAAGUUACAAAACAAUUUGUAAUGUGAGCUGCUGACAGAGAUACAGGAAUCACAGGGCAGUUCGUGAAGACGGAUAACCUGGACAGAAGUCGGUUCCAGAUCCAGCCUCCACACCAGACUUCUCACUCACAAGGAUUGCUGUCUACUAGAUAUUAUGUGUACUCUUCAGACUUAGGUUCAUGCAGAUAUUAUUCAGGGACAUGAACACUUGAAUACUGCAAAAAUAGAGAAACUACCUUAUUUAAGAAUUUUGUGUUAAUUGCAUGAACAUUAAACAAAUAUAUUUAUUUUACUGUUUUUUGUUUUGUAUUCCAAAGCACCUAAAAGCCAAUUCACACUGCCAUACUCCAACAGGGUGAACACACUGACCAAGCAAAACAAAUAAGCAUGUUUUUAUAGUUUUUGUGAAAGUGUGAACUGACAAUGCUGUAUGUUAGGUGUGAGAUUCAUUCAACUUGGUUUGCUGAUUAAACAUGAUUAAAUAUUUGUUCAGAAUAUUUUGUUGUUGUUGUGACUAUUCAUCUAGGAGGGGUGUGUAUCAAGUGGCUUGGUUAUGGUUUUGUUGAGGCUGACAUGUGGAACCCAUCUGAUCCAGCGUAUAGGACCAGAACAGGGCCAGCUAUGGUCAUACAGAACCUCAGAUCCCACAUAGCAAUUUUUCUCUGGCCCAGCUCCGGCCCACACAAUCAGCUUUUGCUUGGCCCACAUACCGCAAUGACUUACGGUCCUAG